GUAGGGAAUUUUCGGCAAUGGGCGCAAGCCUGACCGAGCAACGCCGCGUGAGUGAAGACGGCCUUCGGGUUGUAAAGCUCUGUUGUAAGGGAAGAACGGUCAUAUGAGAAAUGUGACAUGACGGUACCUUACCAGAAAGCCACGGCUAACUACGUGCCAGCAGCCGCGGUAAUACGUAGGUGGCAAGCGUUAUCCGGAAUUAUUGGGCGUAAAGGGUGCGCAGGCGGUUUGUUAAGUUUAUGGUGAAAGCGUUGGGCUCAACCCAAUACAGCCAUAGAUACUGGCAAACUAGAGUGCAGAAGAGGGUAGUGGAAUUCCAUGUGUAGCGGUAAAAUGCGUAGAUAUAUGGAGGAACACCAGUGGCGAAGGCGGCUACCUGGUCUGUAACUGACGCUCAGGCACGAAAGCGUGGGGAGCAAAUAGGAUUAGAAACCCUAGUAGUCC
rnacentral:rRNA from 1 species